rnacentral:rRNA from 1 species
ACGCUGGCGGCGUGCCUAAUACAUGCAAGUAGAACGCUGAAGGAGGAGCUUGCUUCUCCGGAUGAGUUGCGAACGGGUGAGUAACGCGUAGGUAACCUGCCUGGUAGCGGGGGAUAACUAUUGGAAACGAUAGCUAAUACCGCAUAAGAGUAGAUGUUGCAUGACAUUCGCUUAAAAGGUGCAAUUGCAUCACUACCAGAUGGACCUGCGUUGUAUUAGCUAGUUGGUGGGGUAACGGCUCACCAAGGCGACGAUACAUAGCCGACCUGAGAGGGUGAUCGGCCGCACUGGGACUGAGACACGGCCCAGACUCCUACGGGAGGCAGCAGUAGGGAAUCUUCGGCAAUGGACGGAAGUCUGACCGAGCAACGCCGCGUGAGUGAAGAAGGUUUUCGGAUCGUAAAGCUCUGUUGUAAGAGAAGAACGAGUGUGAGAGUGGAAAGUUCACACUGUGACGGUAUCUUACCAGAAAGGGACGGCUAACUACGUGCCAGCAGCCGCGGUAAUACGUAGGUCCCGAGCGUUGUCCGGAUUUAUUGGGCGUAAAGCGAGCGCAGGCGGUUAGAUAAGUCUGAAGUUAAAGGCUGUGGCUUAACCAUAGUACGCUUUGGAAACUGUUUAACUUGAGUGCAAGAGGGGAGAGUGGAAUUCCAUGUGUAGCGGUGAAAUGCGUAGAUAUAUGGAGGAACACCGGUGGCGAAAGCGGCUCUCUGGCUUGUAACUGACGCUGAGGCUCGAAAGCGUGGGGAGCAAACGGGAUUAGAUACCCUGGUAGUCCACGCCGUAAACGAUGAGUGCUAGGUGUUAGACCCUUUCCGGGGUUUAGUGCCGCAGCUAACGCAUUAAGCACUCCGCCUGGGGAGUACGACCGCAAGGUUGAAACUCAAAGGAAUUGACGGGGGCCCGCACAAGCGG